UAUCUCAGUUCGGAUUGGAGGCUGAAACCCGCCUCCAUGAAGUUGGAUUCGCUAGUAAUCGCGCAUCAGCCAUGGCGCGGUGAAUACGUUCCCGGGCCUUGUACACACCGCCCGUCAAGCCAUGGGAGCCGGGGGUGCCUGAAGUUCGUUACCGUAAGGAUCGACCUAGGGCAAAACUGGUGACUGGGGCUAAGUCGUAACAAGGUACC
rnacentral:rRNA from 1 species